UAAUAGGCCGGGGAUCACGUUUUCGGCCCCUACUACUACGGGGCGCAGCAGGCGCGAAACCUUUACACUGCACGAACGUGCGAUAAGGGGACUCCGAGUGCGAGGGCAUACAGUCCUCGCUAUUGUGUACCGUAGGGUGGUACACGACCAAGAGCUGGGCAAGACCGGUGCCAGCCGCCGCGGUAAUACCGGCAGCUCGAGUGAUGGCCGAUUUUAUUGGGCCUAAAGCGUCCGUAGCUGGCCCUGCAAGUCCGUCGGGAAAUCCACUCGCCUAACGAGUGGGCGUCCGGCGGAAACUACAGGGCUUGGGACCGGAAGACUUGAGGGGUACGUCUGGGGUAGGAGUGAAAUCCUGUAAUCCUGGACGGACCGCCGAUAGCGAAAGCACCUCAAGACGACGGAUCCGACAGUGAGGGACGAAAGCUAGGGUCUCGAACCGGAUUAGAUACCCGGGUAGUCCUAGCCGUAAACGAUGUUCGCUAGAUGUGGCACAGGCUACGAGCCUGUGCUGUGUCGUAGGGAAGCCGAGAAGCGAACCGCCUGGGAAGUACGUCCGCAAGGAUGAAACUUAAAGGAAUUGGC
rnacentral:rRNA from 2 species